rnacentral:lncRNA from 1 species
CCAUAUGUAGGGUUUAGAGGGAAAUUGAAACUGGACAGUUCAAAAAUUCAAGCGAUCAAUUAGCUAUAUGAAUCCCCAAUUGCAUGAAAUGAAAAGCAAAAAACAGAUAAGGAUUCAUUCAUAAAUAAAUCUAGGAUUUUUUAAGAGCAAAUUAGGAGACAUUUGAAAACGUACAUGAGAAGAGAACACACCAACUGAUGAAGAAGUGGCGGCAACAGGUUAGAUUCCAGCGGCAGGCUUGGGCUGUGCUGCUGGAGAGAGGGAGAGAAUACUCGGGCGGCGGUUGUGGUGGAGUCAAACUAGUGUUGGUCACACGCGCGGUUGCGAUCUAGGGGAGUAAGGAGCAGAGAGAGAGGGGGAGGUGCGAUCUGGUUCUGAGUGGAGGCAGGAGAUGACUGUAUGGACAGUGGCGGAGAUGAGAGGACGGCGACGGUGGGGCGUAGCGAUGGAGAUGAGAGAGCGGCGUGAUUUGAGAAUGUGUGAUGAAAAUGAGUUUGAGACAGUUUUGUUGAAAGAGGAGUGAUCGAGGUAGAGGUAGACCAAACCGAACCGAACCGAACCGACCGAACCCUUCUGGGUGC